rnacentral:ncRNA from 2 species
GCAACAUUAGGCCUGCUUGGUGUUCCCGCAAGCGCCCCUUGGGGCGUGGAACCGAACAGGGAAUUCCGUAAGGGCCGCAUGGCCUGAAGCGGAAGCCGCCCCCGCGACUGUAAGCGGAGAGUCUGCGCCCAACAUGCCACUCGACCAACCGGUCGGGGAAGGCGGGCAAAGACAUCGACCCGUGAGCCAGGAGACCUGCCAGGCAUGAGAAACUUGA